ensembl:lncRNA
AUGAAAUACAAAACUUGCUCUCAUCUGAAAAGAGGACUUUGGCCGAAGGUCACCAUCAAUGCCAGAAUCGUGGUAGUGGGAGCAUCAGACACGGGUUUAGCUUUUCUUGAUGCACUAACAUUUAGCAUUUUAGAAACAUUUAACAACCUCACUCUCAUCUCCACUCACGGUCUUCCAGAUCGCUACUCUGAUGACAACAUGAGAUUUCUGGCUACAAGUCACUGCUACAGUGAUCAGGAUCAAGCCCAGCUGUCUUUGCGCUCCUGGAUCAGCAUGGUGAUGGAUAAGAUGAAGGCCAUCGAAAGCAAGGCCAAACACCUGGAGCUGAUGGAGAAUGGUAAAGUGAAGUAUGACGAUCUGAUCCUUUGCACCGGCCUGCAGUAUCAGGUCAGAGACACACAAACACAACAUCAACACAAUUCAGCGAACCAAGAUGUCACUCCCAGACGCCGACAUCUACACCCCGUCCCGUCCAACCUCUUCAUUCUCAAUGACCAGCACGACUUGUGUAAAAUAUACACCAAACACAAAAUGAUGUUUGACACUUGUACAGGUGAUGCUGUGCUGUAUGGAAACACUAUAGACAUGUUCACCUGCGUUGAGACACUCAUGCAUCUCGGUGUCAGCGGCCGUCGGAUUCAUGUUGUCCAUCCUCCUGAAGAAGAUCCAUUUUCCUGUUUCCACAACGUUUCAGUGGAGCAUGCAGUAAAACAAGCACUAGAAAAGGAGGAAGUCCAUGUCCAUCACGACUGCCUGUUGACACAAAUCAACGAUGGACAACACACAGAUCCUGUGACAUUAGUGUCCUUCACCACUGAUGCUCAGACUUUACGACUGGAGUCCAUGUUCUUCAUCUUCUCUCAUAAAACUUUCGACUAUGAUGCCUUUAAGGCCAUCAGUGAUGCCUGUUUGGUGUUCGAUGGCCGUUUGGUCAUAGAUUCCUACUUCCACACCAAUGACCCCUCCAUAUACGCCGCAGGCCCCUUGACCAAAUACUCCCGCUGUUACCAUGCCGACCAGUGGAGCGACUCCUGCAUUAAUUCUAAGGAGGUGGGGCAGAGUUUGGCAUCUGUUCUCCUGCCCUUAUGUGACCCGACCCUGGAGCGUCCCGCCGGCCCACCGUCUGACCACAACCACCUCAUUCCAGUGUAUAAUCAGGCCAAGAUCCAAGUGUUGCUUUUAUGGUUAAUCUUUAUUAUUUGCAUCCUGCAAGGUCGUGACAUUGUGACAGGCCGCACUGAAACAGACAUCUACAUUCAUCUGCAUCUGAGCCCACAUGAUUUGGUGGAGAGCAUCACGUGCCUCUCUAAAAACACACUUCCCGUAUCCAACCUCCCGUGUCUCUACAGGAAACAGCAGCUGCUGCUGAAUCAUCUCUGCUCACGCUACGAUGAGGACCAUCACAGUUUAUACUGA